rnacentral:rRNA from 1 species
CAGUCGCCGCGGUAAUACGAAGGGUGCAAGCGUUAAUCGGAAUUACUGGGCGUAAAGCGUGCGUAGGCGGUUCGUUAAGUCUGUUGUGAAAUCCCCGGGCUCAACCUGGGAAUGGCAAUGGAUACUGGCAAGCUAGAGUGUGUCAGAGGAUGGUGGAAUUCCCGGUGUAGCGGUGAAAUGCGUAGAGAUCGGGAGGAACAUCAGUGGCGAAGGCGGCAUCUGGGACAACACUGACGCUGAGGCACGAAAGCGUGGGGAGCAAACAGGAUUAGAUACCCCCGUAGUCCCUGUCUCUUAUACA